rnacentral:tRNA from 1 species
CGCUAAGAAGCUCAAAAGUGGAAUAGCAUUAGCCUUUUAAGCUAAAAGUUGGUGGCCCCCCAACCACCCUUAGCGA